rnacentral:rRNA from 1 species
AUUGAACGCUGGCGGCAUGCCUUACACAUGCAAGUCGAACGGCAGCACGGGAGCAAUCCUGGUGGCGAGUGGCGAACGGGUGAGUAAUAUAUCGGAACGUGCCCAGUCGUGGGGAUAACGUAGAGAAAUUUACGCUAAUACCGCAUACGAUCUAAGGAUGAAAGCGGGGGACCGUAAGGCCUCGCGCGAUUGGAGCGGCUGAUAUCAGAUUAGGUUGUUGGUGAGGUAAAAGCUCACCAAGCCGACGAUCUGUAGCUGGUUUGAGAGAACGACCAGCCACACUGGGACUGAGACACGGCCCAGACUCCUACGGGAGGCAGCAGUGGGGAAUUUUGGACAAUGGGCGAAAGCCUGAUCCAGCAAUGCCGCGUGCAGGAAGAAGGCCUCGG